rnacentral:lncRNA from 1 species
CGAGUUGAGCCCGAGCCUAAGCCUGGAUAAUUCCUUAACGAGCCGAGCCCGAGCCUGGUUAUGUGUAGAUAAUGAGGUUUAUGUUGAAUUUGACAAGCAGAGUGUCAAAAUACGGGACACGGGCACGGGCAAGAGAAGAAUUCUAGCUGAAGGACGUGAGGAAAAUGGACUUUACCGGUUACCCUUAGAAAUUGACGGGAAUAAAGAGGUGCUCUCAGCUGUAACGGGAGACCGAUGGCACGCACGACUUGGUCAUUUACAUACUAG